GUAGUCUGCAACCCGACUACAUGAAGCUGGAAUCGCUAGUAAUCGCGGAUCAGAAUGCCGCGGUGAAUACGUUCCCGGGUCUUGUACACACCGCCCGUCACACCAUGGGAGUCGGAAAUGCCCGAAGUCAGUGACCCAACCGUAAGGGAGGGAGCUGCCGAAGGUGGAGCCGGUAACUGGGGUGAAGUCGUAACAAGGUAUC
rnacentral:rRNA from 1 species